UCCCCAGUAGCUCAGUUGGCAGAGCAGAUGGCUGUUAACCAUCGGGUCCGCGGUUCGAGUCCGUGCUGGGGAG
rfam:Desulfobacterales bacterium C00003060 5datasets_contig_17890, whole genome shotgun sequence.